GGCGCCAUGACUCAGCUGGUUAAAGCGCCUCUCUGGUGAACAGACGAUCCUGGGUUCAGCUCCCAGUGGUGCCU
rfam:Pelodiscus sinensis unplaced genomic scaffold scaffold820, whole genome shotgun sequence.